rnacentral:misc_RNA from 1 species
GAUGAAGAACGUAGCGAAAUGCGAUAAGUAUUGUGAAUUGCAGAAUUCAGUGAAUCAUCGAAUCUUUGAACGCACAUUGCGCCCGCCAGUAUUCUGGCGGGCAUGCCUGUUCGAGCGUCAUUUCAACCAUCAAGCCCCAGGCUUGUGUUGGGGACCUGCGGCUGCCGCAGGCCCUGAAAACCAGUGGCGGGCUCGCUGUCACACCGGGCGUAGUAGAUUUUAUCUCGCUCAGGGCGUGCUGCGGGUUCCGGCCGUUAAAAAGCCUUUUUUACCCAAGGUUGACCUCGGAUCAGGUAGGAAGACCCGCUGAACUUAAGCAUAUCAAUAAGCGGAGGA